AAGACCUUGUGCUUUUGGAGCGGCCGAUGCCUGAUUAGCUUGUUGGUAAGGUAAAAGCUUACCAAGGCUUCGAUCAGUAGCUGGUCUGAGAGGACGACCAGCCACACUGGGACUGGGACACGGCCCAGACUCCUACGGGAGGCAGCAGUGGGGAAUUUUGGACAAUGGGGGCAACCCUGAUCCAGCCAUGCCGCGUGAGUGAAGAAGGCCUUCGGGUUGUAAAGCUCUUUCAGCCGGAACGAAACGGUUACGGAUAAUACCCGUGACUACUGACGGUACCGGAAGAAGAAGCACCGGCUAACUACGUGCCAGCAGCCGCGGUAAUACGUAGGGUGCGAGCGUUAAUCGGAAUUACUGGGCGUAAAGCGUGCGCAGGUGGUUUUGUAAGUCAGAUGUGAAAGCCCCGGGCUCAACCUGGGAACU
rnacentral:rRNA from 1 species